AUUGAACGCUGGCGGCAUGCCUUACACAUGCAAGUCGAACGGUAACAGGUCUUCGGACGCUAACGAGUGGCGAACGGGUGAGUAAUACAUCGGAACGUGCCCAGUCGUGGGGGAUAACUACUCGAAAGAGUAGCUAAUACCGCAUACGAUCUGAGGAUGAAAGCGGGGGACCUUCGGGCCUCGCGCGAUUGGAGCGGCCGAUGGCAGAUUAGGUAGUUGGUGGGAUAAAAGCUUACCAAGCCGACGAUCUGUAGCUGGUCUGAGAGGACGACCAGCCACACUGGGACUGAGACACGGCCCAGACUCCUACGGGAGGCAGCAGUGGGGAAUUUUGGACAAUGGGCGAAAGCCUGAUCCAGCAAUGCCGCGUGCAGGAUGGAGGCCUUCGGGUUGUAAACUGCUUUUGUACGGAACGAAAAAGCUUCUCCUAAUACGAGAGGCCCAUGACGGCACCGUAAGAAUAAGCACCGGCUAACUACGUGCCAGCCGCCGCCGUAA
rnacentral:rRNA from 1 species